rnacentral:snRNA from 1 species
AUACUUACCUGGCAGGGGAGAUACCAUGAUCAAGAAGGUGGUUUUCCCAGGGUGAGGCUUAUCCAUUGCAUUCCAGAUGUGUUGAUGCCUUCAAUUUCCCGAAAUGAGGGAAACUCAACUUCAUAAUUUGUGGCAGUGGCAGACUAUGUUUGCUCUCUCGCCU